UUGAUUAUUUACAAGUACCUGAAAUUUUGCAAAGAUGUACUGUUGUCAGCACUUCACUCCUGCAUAUCACUGUGCCAGUGGCUGGCUCCUCAGCCCCAGGGGGAAAAGGGUGUCAGAUUUUGCCUCUCUCGUAACUUCAGGAAAGAUUAAUGAACUUCAGCCCAUCUGCAGUGAACGGCUGAUCCUUCGGGAUGAAAGGAGCUCAAAACACUCAGCCUUAUACUUAACGACUGAUCACUCUUCUUGAGCAGUGGUGUCAUAUUGGCAGGUCUAUCCACAGAACUGUGCUAGACAGUGGAUAACAGUGAAUACCCUUUAAUUGGAAUGGUCACCAAUGGCCUCUCUCAGACACUGUCAGAAGAAUCUAAGAUGGAUCCAUGAAUUUACCUUCAAGGGGAUGUGCGCUAUUCAAAACUAUGCAUCUUUUCCACAAUGGUUCAUUAAAAUUCUAUGGAAAAGAGUCUGGGAAUGGGAUGGGAUGGCACUUCCAGAAUAGUCUUGUGAGGAUCCCAGAAACCAAUGCCCCAGAGGACACAGGAUUAAACUGGUAGAAAUUAGCAAGACUAUUACUUAAAAUCUUUGAUGCUUGACCAAAGGGCUUCCAACAAGUCAAGAAAUGUUUACGCAACAAAAUGUACAGAUAUCGGUAGGAACAAUGUGAGGCCAGGACAAUGAAGGCAGGGCAGCACCUUUCCACUCACCCAGCUUGAUGUUAUGGAAGAGGAUUCCAUGGGGCCUGACAACCAAG
rnacentral:lncRNA from 1 species